rnacentral:rRNA from 1 species
UGGGGAAUAUUGGACAAUGGGCGAAAGCCUGAUCCAGCCAUGCCGCGUGUGUGAAGAAGGUCUUCGGAUUGUAAAGCACUUUAAGUUGGGAGGAAGGGCAGUAAAUUAAUACUUUGCUGUUUUGACGUUACCGACAGAAUAAGCACCGGCUAACUCUGUGCCAGCAGCCGCGGUAAUACAGAGGGUGCAAGCGUUAAUCGGAAUUACUGGGCGUAAAGCGCGCGUAGGUGGUUAGUUAAGUUGGAUGUGAAAUCCCCGGGCUCAACCUGGGAACUGCAUUCAAAACUGACUGACUAGAGUAUGGUAGAGGGUGGUGGAAUUUCCUGUGUAGCGGUGAAAUGCGUAGAUAUAGGAAGGAACACCAGUGGCGAAGGCGACCACCUGGACUGAUACUGACACUGAGGUGCGAAAGCGUGGGGAGCAAACAGGAUUAGAUACCCCGGUAGUCCCUGAG